AGGGUAGCCUAGUGGUUAGUGUUGGACUAGUAACCAGCAGGUAGCCUAGUGGUUAGUGUUGGACUAGUAACCAGCAGGUAGCCUAGUGGUUAGAGUGUUGGACUAGUAACCAGCAGGUAGCCUAGUGGUUAGUGUUGGACUAGUAACCAGCAGGUAGCCUAGUGGUUAGAGUGUUGGACUAGUAACCAGCAGUUAGCCUAGUGGUUAGAGUGUUGGACUAGUAACCAGCAGGUAGCCUAGUGGUUAGAGUGUUGGACUAGUAACCAGCAGGUAGCCUAGUGGUUAGUGUUGGACUAGUAACCAGCAGGUAGCCUAGUGGUUAGUGUUGGACUAGUAACCAGCAGGUAGCCUAGUGGUUAGUGUUGGACUAGUAACCAGCAGGUAGCCUAGUGGUUAGUGUUGGACUAGUAACCAGCAGGUAGCCUAGUGGUUAGAGCGUUGGACUAGUAACCAGCAGGUAGCCUAGUGGUUAGUGUUGGACUAGUAACCAGCAGGUAGCCUAGUGGUUAGAGCGUUGGACUAGUAACCAGCAGGUAGCCUAGUGGUUAGAGCGUUGGACUAGUAACCAGCAGGUAGCCUAGUGGUUAGAGCGUUGGACUAGUAACCAGCAGGUAGCCUAGUGGUUAGAGUGUUGGACUAGUAACCAGCAGUUAGCCUAGUGGUUAGUGUUGGACUAGUAACCAGCAGGUAGCCUAGUGGUUAGUGUUGGACUAGUAACCAGCAGGUAGCCUGGUGGUUAGUGUUGGACUAGUAACCAACAGGUAGCCUAGUGGUUAGAGCGUUGGACUAGUAACCAGCAGGUAGCCUAGUGGUUAGAGCGUUGGACUAGUAACCAGCAGGUAGCCUAGUGGUUAGUGUUGGACUAGUAACCAGCAGGUAGCCUAGUGGUUAGAGUGUUGGACUAGUAACCAGCAGGUAGCCUAGUGGUUAGAGUGUUGGACUAGUAACCAGCAGGUAGCCUAGUGGUUAGUGUUGGACUAGUAACCAGCAGGUAGCCUAGUGGUUAGUGUUGGACUAGUAACCAGCAGGUAGCCUAGUGGUUAGUGUUGGACUAGUAACCAGCAGGUAGCCUAGUGGUUAGUGUUGGACUAGUAACCAGCAGGUAGCCUAGUGGUUAGUGUUGGACUAGUAACCAGCAGGUAGCCUAGUGGUUAGUGUUGGACUAGUAACCAGCAGGUAGCCUAGUGGUUAGAGCGUUGGACUAGUAACCAGCAGGUAGCCUAGUGGUUAGAGUGUUGGACUAGUAACCAGCAGGUAGCCUAGUGGUUAGAGCGUUGGACUAGUAACCAGCAGGUAGUCUAGUGGUUAGAGUGUUGGACUAGUAACCAGCAGGUAGCCUAGUGGUUAGUGUUGGACUAGUAACCAGCAGGUAGCCUAGUGGUUAGAGUGUUGGACUAGUAACCAGCAGGUAGCCUAGUGGUUAGAGCGUUGGACUAGUAACCAGCAGUUAGCCUAGUGGUUAGAGCGUUGGACUAGUAACCAGCAGUUAGCCUAGUGGUUAGAGCGUUGGACUAGUAACCAGCAGUUAGCCUAGUGGUUAGAGCGUUGGACUAGUAACCAGCAGUUAGCCUAGUGGUUAGAGCGUUGGACUAGUAACCAGCAGGUAGCCUAGUGGUUAGAGCGUUGGACUAGUAACCAGCAGGUAGCCUAGUGGUUAGAGCGUUGGACUAGUAACCGGCAGUUAGCCUAGUGGUUAGAGCGUUGGACUAGUAACCGGCAGUUAGCCUAGUGGUUAGAGCGUUGGACUAGUAACCAGCAGUUAGCCUAGUGGUUAGAGCGUUGGACUAGUAACCAGCAGGUAGCCUAGUGGUUAGAGCGUUGGACUAGUAACCAGCAGGUAGCCUAGUGGUUAGUGUUGGACUAGUAACCAGCAGGUAGCCUAGUGGUUAGUGUUGGACUAGUAACCAGCAGGUAGCCUAGUGGUUAGAGCGUUGGACUAGUAACCAGCAGGUAGCCUAGUGGUUAGUGUUGGACUAGUAACCAGCAGGUAGCCUAGUGGUUAGUGUUGGACUAGUAACCAGCAGGUAGCCUAGUGGUUAGUGUUGGACUAGUAACCAGCAGGUAGCCUAGUGGUUAGAGCGUUGGACUAGUAACCAGCAGGUAGCCUAGUGGUUAGAGUGUUGGACUAGUAACCAGCAGGUAGCCUAGUGGUUAGAGCGUUGGACUAGUAACCAGCAGGUAGUCUAGUGGUUAGAGUGUUGGACUAGUAACCAGCAGGUAGCCUAGUGGUUAGUGUUGGACUAGUAACCAGCAGGUAGCCUAGUGGUUAGAGUGUUGGACUAGUAACCAGCAGGUAGCCUAGUGGUUAGAGCGUUGGACUAGUAACCAGCAGUUAGCCUAGUGGUUAGAGCGUUGGACUAGUAACCAGCAGUUAGCCUAGUGGUUAGAGCGUUGGACUAGUAACCAGCAGUUAGCCUAGUGGUUAGAGCGUUGGACUAGUAACCAGCAGUUAGCCUAGUGGUUAGAGCGUUGGACUAGUAACCAGCAGGUAGCCUAGUGGUUAGAGCGUUGGACUAGUAACCAGCAGGUAGCCUAGUGGUUAGAGCGUUGGACUAGUAACCGGCAGUUAGCCUAGUGGUUAGAGCGUUGGACUAGUAACCGGCAGUUAGCCUAGUGGUUAGAGCGUUGGACUAGUAACCGGCAGUUAGCCUAGUGGUUAGAGCGUUGGACUAGUAACCGGCAGUUAGCCUAGUGGUUAGAGCGUUGGACUAGUAACCAGCAGUUAGCCUAGUGGUUAGAGCGUUGGACUAGUAACCAGCAGGUAGCCUAGUGGUUAGUGUUGGACUAGUAACCAGCAGGUAGCCUAGUGGUUAGUGUUGGACUAGUAACCAGCAGGUAGCCUAGUGGUUAGAGCGUUGGACUAGUAACCAGCAGGUAGCCUAGUGGUUAGUGUUGGACUAGUAACCAGCAGGUAGCCUAGUGGUUAGAGCGUUGGACUAGUAACCAGCAGGUAGCCUAGUGGUUAGAGCGUUGGACUAGUAACCAGCAGGUAGCCUAGUGGUUAGUGUUGGACUAGUAACCAGCAGGUAGCCUAGUGGUUAGAGCGUUGGACUAGUAACCAGCAGGUAGCCUAGUGGUUAGAGCGUUGGACUAGUAACCAGCAGGUAGCCUAGUGGUUAGUGUUGGACUAGUAACCAGCAGGUAGCCUAGUGGUUAGUGUUGGACUAGUAACCAGCAGGUAGCCUAGUGGUUAGUGUUGGACUAGUAACCAGCAGGUAGCCUAGUGGUUAGUGUUGGACUAGUAACCAGCAGGUAGCCUAGUGGUUAGUGUUGGACUAGUAACCAGCAGGUAGCCUAGUGGUUAGAGCGUUGGACUAGUAACCAGCAGGUAGCCUAGUGGUUAGUGUUGGACUAGUAACCAGCAGGUAGCCUAGUGGUUAGAGCGUUGGACUAGUAACCAGCAGGUAGCCUAGUGGUUAGAGUGUUGGACUAGUAACCAGCAGUUAGCCUAGUGGUUAGUGUUGGACUAGUAACCAGCAGGUAGCCUA